AGUUUAUCCACAAGAAGACCGUUUGCAAGUGUAACCUGUUGGAAAAAGAAACCCAACUGUUACUAAAUAUGUUGGAAGAAAGUGUUACAAAUAUGAGAAAUAUGUUAGAAAUAUGUUCUUUCACUGAGAAUUAUUUUUAUUUAAUUUAUACAUUUAUUAUUUAAUUCAUAACUACAUUCUUUAUUUUAUUCUUCAUUUCAUUGAUCAUUUCAUUUGAUCUCAGAGGUCUUUUUGAUUCAGUAGAUGGUCCUGUGAAGAAAAACUUUUCAAAUUGAUUUCAUUGGUUCAUUUCAGUUUAGCUGAGUUGCUAUUGGUUAAGGCAACGCAUGUCCCGCCUCCUUCACGUUAGAGACGCUGCGGUAGUGUGUGAAAAAUACACAGAGAGCAGCAGGACGAUAAUUGAGACACAGAGGUUUUGGAGUGAUGAAACUUUAAAAAAUACACUUUAUAUUGUUAAAAGGAGGAAUUGUGUAAACAGAGAAAAGUCCGGUGAACCACUGAAGCGACCCUGGGAACAUCUUGUGUUUGUUUUAUUAUUUUAUUGUCCCGGCUGGGUUUUUUGGAUACCCUGAGAUCCUGGACCGUGGAUUUGGAGUGAUUCUCUCCCUGACGAGGGGGAUGGCGAGCUACCCGCGUGAGCAUUUUGGAUUGAGGAGGAACCUUUCCAUUCUUCAUUCUCUGUCCUGCCAGAGUGGUAGGGUUGUGGGGAAGGACUUCCAAGAACUUUCGAAUUGAACUAUUUCUUUUGGUGUGUACUUACCUGUCAAGUGGGUUACACAAGGAACUCCGCCGAGUGAAUGAACAUUGACGAGACGCUGCCGCUGUUUCCUGAGUGCUUUCCUGUGGCUCGUGAGCUCGUGAGGAGCCGUCGCCAUCUUCUGAAUAUCCUGAGGAUUGCAGGCAACACUACUAAACCACCACACACAUAUAGAGCUCUAUAAUAUUAUUGCUGGCCAGCACUUUACUUUAUUCUGUUAUUUUUUUUGUUGCUAAAGACAAUAUAAGGACACUUCAAGAUUUGUUCUAUGUUCUAUAAGAAGACCGUUCGGUAUUAAUUUUGUUUUCAUGGACUGAGAAAGAGACAUUUAAUUAAAGAGGACGAGUAACAUUCCUUCAGGUAUUUUUGUAUUGAAUAACAGGGUGUUGUUCAGACAUUUAAGUAUUUGGUUAACUGCCUAAAAAGGGGAAAUAUAUAUUGUUUUAUUUUUUUCUUAUUCUAAUUGAAUCACAUUUCCAUGUGAUUUAAGGUUUACUGUUUUAUGUUGUUCCUGACCUACAUUGUGAUCAAGUAAGAUGCAUUUCAGUUCAGUAAAUGUUAAAUAAAACUGGAUCGAUAGUAAACUGCUAUCACAA